AUCCAGCUGUCGAGUCACGUGUAGGACGAAAUGCACGUCCUGGAU
rnacentral:hammerhead_ribozyme from 1 species